CGGGAAAGGGAAGUGCGUCCGGAGGGGAGGGGCCAGCUCUUCAGGGCUGUUGGCCCCACAGGGUUGUGGGGUAUUCCUUAUGCUGUGCUGAGAUGCAGGGUCUGAGAAGUAAACAGACAGGACACUGAAGAACUGGAGAUGAGCAACUGGCCUUCAGGGGCCAUGCCACCUAUGAGCGGAGACAGAUUUUAUUAUGAAGAACUCAUUCUGUUGAUCCCUAGGAAUCACCUAUUCCCUUGCUGUUUUGCUGAAUCUGUUUUUGAAUCUGCUUUCUACAUUGGGAAGAGGGCACACACCGCGGACGGAGCUUGCAGGACUGGAAGUUGCUCUGGGC